rnacentral:rRNA from 2 species
GCCCAUGGCGGCUGCCUAUACUGCAAGUCGAACGAGCUUCCGUUGAAUGACGUGCUUGCACUGAUUUUAACAAUGAAGCGAGUGGCGAACUGGUGAGUAACACGUGGGAAAUCUGCCCAGAAGCAGGGGAUAACACUUGGAAACAGGUGCUAAUACCGUAUAACAACAAAAUCCGCAUGGAUUUUGUUUGAAAGGUGGCUUCGGCUAUCACUUCUGGAUGAUCCCGCGGCGUAUUAGUUAGUUGGUGAGGUAAAGGCCCACCAAGACGAUGAUACGUAGCCGACCUGAGAGGGUAAUCGGCCACAUUGGGACUGAGACACGGCCCAAACUCCUACGGGAGGCAGCAGUAGGGAAUCUUCCACAAUGGACGAAAGUCUGAUGGAGCAAUGCCGCGUGAGUGAAGAAGGGUUUCGGCUCGUAAAACUCUGUUGUUAAAGAAGAACACCUUUGAGAGUAACUGUUCAAGGGUUGACGGUAUUUAACCAGAAAGCCACGGCUAACUACGUGCCAGCAGCCGCGGUAAUACGUAGGUGGCAAGCGUUGUCCGGAUUUAUUGGGCGUAAAGCGAGCGCAGGCGGUUUUUUAAGUCUGAUGUGAAAGCCUUCGGCUUAACCGGAGAAGUGCAUCGGAAACUGGGAGACUUGAGUGCAGAAGAGGACAGUGGAACUCCAUGUGUAGCGGUGGAAUGCGUAGAUAUAUGGAAGAACACCAGUGGCGAAGGCGGCUGUCUAGUCUGUAACUGACGCUGAGGCUCGAAAGCAUGGGUAGCGAACAGGAUUAGAUACCCUGGUAGUCCAUGCCGUAAACGAUGAGUGCUAAGUGUUGGGAGGGUUUCCGCCCUUCAGUGCUGCAGCUAACGCAUUAAGCACUCCGCCUGGGGGAGUACGACCGCGAGGGUUGAAACUCAAAAGGAAUUGACGGGGGGCCCCCCACAAGCGGGGGGAGCAUGG